GUUCUUCAUCGAGCUUUCAGGAACUCAUUCAGGUGGGGUCUGAAGAUUCUGUGAAGAUUUCAGAUAAAAAUGAACUUCAAAUGGAUCUGGCUGGUAGCCAUUCUCAUGAUUAUAGGAUUGGCUAGUGUGGCAGAUGCCAGGCGUGGCGGGGGCCGAGGAGGCCGAGGAGGCCGAGGAGGUCGAGGAGGUCGAGGAGGCCGAGGUGGCAGAGGAGGCAGAGGUGGAGGUCGAGGCGGCGGAGGUCGAGGCGGCAGAGGAGGCCGAGGUGGCCGAGGCUGAGGAGCAAAGUAGAACGAAAUGAAGGCACAGACCAGGAACGUCCAACAACGGCAUCCCUCCAAGACAAAAACAGAAAACAAAAUGCUAGUGUAGCAGUCGCUUUCAACAUUUCCUGUUCUCUACCCCGAUUUUCUGCUUCUUUCCUUGUCAGGGAGGUCAGUCCACAUCUGUCUGCACACAACUGCAAAUCAUCUCCCCCAAAAGCUAUGAACCAGGCAUAGGGAAACUUGGCCCUCCAGAUGUUUUGGGACUACAACUCCCAUCAUCCCUAGCUAAGAGGACCAGUGGUCAGGAAUGAUGGGAGUUGUAGUCCCAAAACAUCUGGAGGGGGAGAUAAACGUGGCUAAUUAGUCUCAGCUCCAUGGUAUUUUUUGCCAACCUUUGCUAUUACUCUUGAGAAUGUAGAAAUGCAUUUUAUUUCCCCCUGUUUGCAUUAUCUUUAUGAAACUUUCUUGCACAUUCAGCAUAUUAAA